UCUCCACUCCAUGCUGUGCAGUGUGACUCUGCUCCCAGGCUGACACAGCUGACACAAAGAACCUGUGAGUUUCCUUCCCUGCUAACCAAUUUGUGUGGAGAACGAUUUACUUUCAAACCCUGCAGGCACAUUGCUGAUGCCAACACUUUAUGAAAAUUGGUCUAAUUAUUCUGGCUGGUAAUUGUACUUGAGGAUAGACGAGCUUGCUUUGUUUAAUUUUGAAAAGCUACAUACAAACCAGACAUCUUAAAGACAGACUUAGGUUCAAAUGUUUCUGAGUUCCUACUCUCCUUGGGUUGAAUUGCAGUAAAAAAGGACAAAGAGAAGGAAGGAAUGAAAAAUUAGGGCAAAACACAGAACAGGCAGGGUGAAAAUACCAAGAGGGUAUGGUGAAAACUGGAAAAGAGAUGGAGAGAGGGAGUAGAUUUUAGUAAACACAGAAUGAUAAAACGGGGGAGGGAUUUUCCAUCAAUACUGAGUGGAUGAAAACCAGACCUAAGCAGUACUGUUGUUGCUACUACCACCAAUAUGCCUCCUUGCCAUGAGGCAGAUGUCUCCUCUGUUGAUACAUAGUUAAGACAAACAUUGUAGUCCUAAGCAAGAAUUAAUAUCUUCAAGAACAUUGACAACUUGCAGCCUCUGAGCCCACACUUGAUAUAGUCAAGAAACUUCCCUUAUGACUGAAGAAACACCGCCUUGCAACUUCAAUGGAUUAGACAGCUCCUCAGCAACAUUCCUUUGAAAACCAUGGGAGUAAACUGGUUAGUUCCUGCAGGCAUUAAAUGUUUAACUUCAGAAGUUGCUGUUGAAUAUCCUCUUGGAUUAGUGCUGGAAAUGGAAGGAUUUCAUUGUCACUUGAAGAAGCAAAUACAUUGUACAGCUGCUUUACAAAUGUAGAAUGCAGAAUUCCACAUGGACUGAAACUUGAGUGUCUCAGUCAACCCAUCCUGUGAGUCUGCCAUCAACUCACAGCCAUGAUAAACACCAGACCAGAAAUCUAAGAAAAUCCUGAUGUUCUUAACUGACUACCUUCAUCCAAGCGUUAAGGUUUGCCAGGAGUUUGCAGAUUGAUAUUGAGUUCAGCGUUUUUUCACUGCUGUCUGUGUUUUUCUUCUUCUUAACAUCAUGGCCAUUGAGAAGUGCUUUAAAAUACAGCAGUAAUUAGAAAGGUAGAGUUACCAUUAAAGGGAGUAUUUGUUUACUGAUAGGAGUUUAGUUCUGUAAGUGUCCUUCUUUUCCACUGUCUUCAAAACUAUAUACAUCAUUUCCUCUGUUCAGUGAAGUUCAUUGGACAACAGUUCCUUGCAAAGUUAUUCUUUCUCUAAUCUAAUUACUUUUCCCUGUUUUUCUGUUUUGUCUUUGUACUUUAUGUAGUGCCACACAGUGUCCCAGAUGGUCAGUCUGGGAAGCAGACAGACUUUUUCAAAAAGACAAUGUUGAUUCCCCUUAGACCCAGAAUGAUAUCCUCCUUCCACUUCCCCCAUCCCCACUCAUUCACAGAUCUUAAUCCUCAAUAAAGACAGUGUUUAGAUAUGUGAAGAAAAGUGGAUGACAACUUAAAACCAACAAAGCUGACACAGGGAACUAUGGCUGGAAUUGGCAAGAUAUUGUUAAGCAGUCUGGUAUCAUUGUUUGCAGCAAGGAUAAAACCAGCUGGCCAUGCUAUGGUUGACUGAGAUCUAGACAAGGAAGGAGAAUCACAUAUGAAUAGGAAGUGAUAUGAGAGGGGAUAAAAAGAAGAAAGAUGAUGUUCUCAAGGCAAGGUCUGAAAAGAGAAAAAUGGCAAAAACCUUCCGAGAUAUUUAAAUCCAAGACUGUUAGACUUUCUCACCUUGCACAAGAUACACAGAUAUGAGAAGAAAGUUUUGAUAUAAACUUACCACAGAGGAAAUGCAGGUACUCUAGACCAUGAAGUUCCAACUUGCCUGACAGUAGAUACCACUGCCUUACAGAUGUUUUUUCUAAAACCAGAUAUGUAACAGUAGGAAGCUCACCUGCAUUAUUUUGUCUCUCAUCCUGACUUGAUAACUUUAGUACUACAUAAACAAAUUAGUAUCUAUUUAAUUUACAGUCCUAAAACUGAGAAAAAUGGAAGGGAGAAAAAAGAUCAAAAACGGGUAUUUUACAACAUUUUCAGAACUGUAGUAUUAGUUAUGAAAGUAUAGUUAAUUUUCCAUAAUUUCUACUGACUUCUUCCCACCACUGGUCAAAAGGAACAUGGUGUGUACUCUGAAAUUCUUUGAUCCCUUAUAGAAAAAAUUACUAAAUGACUACACCUGAGGGCUGCAAUCACUUGUAAUGAUACUACAGAAUUAUAGACAACACUAUUUUUUCUAGUACCAUAUUGAAAAGUUUCAUCUCAUUUCACACAGGAGCUUUUCACUGUAUAUAUGGUGCCAAAUAGUAAUUUCUUCUCAUUACCUAAUUGUAAGUAUUUCUUUUCUCUGCUGCAAGGAGUGUGUGGGGGGAAAUCAUAAUUUGGGCAGGUAAAGGGAGGUGACAGGUGUUUAACAGAAAUGGAGUGUUUUACAGCACCCUUUCCCACAUUAAAACAGGUAAUGAGUGUUUAGAAAAAAAUGGAAUGCACCAAAAUUGUUGGAUGCCAAAAGUAGUAGUAAUUAUGAAAUAGUGGUAAAACCAUUGGUGUUACUUAACUUUUUAGGUGAUUUGAGUUAUAUACAUAUAUAUGUAUCUUCUAAGGAUAUAAAAUUAGAGUAUAGUACCUAGGAAUCUAUCUAAGGCUUGGUAAACACUUAACAUCGCUUAACAUUUGGUUGCUGAGAAAUGUCCUUUUUCAAUCACGUUUUGUUCAAAAAUUAGGUGUAUACAGUCAUGCUUUCUUCCCCUUAUGAGUCCAUUGGCCCAUGUUAUUGAGGGAUAAGAAUUUUCAGGAAUAUGAAGUAUUUGUUAAUAUCAUGAAGAUCAGCAGCUGGAAAAAUUAGAAAGAAAUUAAUUAAUGCCUUUACUGAGGGCAAAGCUGAAGAGCGUUACACUGGCCAAGCCUGUCAGUACACUUUAACUCAGCAUUCAACAUGUAGUACAAGAGCAAAGGAACUGGCUGUAAUGGGAGAAACAAGACCAGUGAAGUCUAAGGAAGCCUGCAAAGGAGAUAAACUUAGUGUAAGAAGCAUGGAACAAGGAGAUAGGGCUGAAAUCCAUUGAAAAUUGUGGUUUAAUAGUUCCAACUUGCUUUGACUACCACAACUGCACCCAGACAAUCCCUACUGAAAAUUAUAAAGUUAUACCAGAAAAAAUGAUGAUGUACAGUGCAACAAUUAAACCUUUUCUUUUAUCGGAUACAUUGCAUCAUUCUAGGCUCUCUUGUAUUGCUAAUAUGGUGAUAGUACAUGGAGAGAGACAGACAAAUAGUUCUGCUCUGCAUGCAGAAAAACUCUCAUGAAUUUCCCUCAGUCAAUGGGAUAUAUAUUGCACUAAUAUAUAUCACAAAAGAUUUCCAUACCUCAGUGUGAUUUAAUAUGGUCCUUAACAAAGGCAUUCGGCAAGUUUGCUGGUCUGACAAAUUUCCUUGAACUCCAAAUAC